rnacentral:rRNA from 1 species
UACGAAGGGGGCUAGCGUUGUUCGGAAUUACUGGGCGUAAAGCGUGCGCAGGCGGCUGCUCAAGUCAGGGGUGAAAGCCCAGAGCUCAACUCUGGAAUUGCCUUUGAGACUGAGUGGCUUGAGUACGGGAGAGGUGAGUGGAAUUCCCAGUGUAGAGGUGAAAUUCGGUAGAUAUUGGGAAGAACACCGGUGGCGAAGGCGGCUCACUGGCCCGUAACUGACGCUCAUGCACGACAGCGUGGGGAUCAAACAGG